rnacentral:tRNA from 1 species
UGGCUCAGUGGUAGAGUACUUGCCUUGCAUGCAUGAAGCCCUGGGUUCAAUUCCUCAG